rnacentral:rRNA from 1 species
AUUGAACGCUGGCGGCAGGCCUAACACAUGCAAGUCGAACGAGUGGCGGACGGGUGAGUAAUGUCUGGGAAACUGCCCGAUGGAGGGGGAUAACUACUGGAAACGGUAGCUAAUACCGCAUACCAUCGGAUGUGCCCAGAUGGGAUUAGCUAGUAGGUGGGGUAACGGCUCACCUAGGCGACGAUCCCUAGCUGGUCUGAGAGGAUGACCAGCCACACUGGAACUGAGACACGGUCCAGACUCCUACGGGAGGCAGCAGUGGGGAAUAUUGCACAAUGGGCGCAAGCCUGAUGCAGCCAUGCCGCGUGUAUGAAGAAGGCCUUCGGGUUGUAAAGCACUUUUGGCAGGAAAGCGGUACCUGCAGAAUAAGCACCGGCUAACUACGUGCCAGCAGCCGCGGUAAUAC